rnacentral:lncRNA from 1 species
CUUGGUCUGGAACUUCUAGUGUGUAGAACUGUGAGACAACACAUUUCUGUUGUUUAAGACACACAAUCUGUGGUACUUUGAUACAGCAGCCCCAACAAACUAAUACAUGGGGUGUCUCAUUGUAGUUUUAAUCAGUAACACCCAUUAUGAACUGAAAACAUAUGCUACUUUUAAGAUCCAACUUGAAUGCUUCCUGAUUAAAUAUAUACAGGAGUGAUUUCAGAGGAAUUUAAGUUUUGGAUCAUCCUUUUGAGAAAGAAAAAAAAGUACCCUUUUAAAAGAGGUUCAACAAAGCCAUUAAGACUAACCGUUUUUGCUGGAGCUGCAAGAUUUUCCAUUUCUUCGUGAGUCACCCAAACGUUGCCUGAAGGCUAGUGAGGAGGCCCAGAGGGAAGCAGAGGAAUCCAUGGGAGGCAAGCAGUGGUAAAGAAGAAAGGCAGCACCUCUACUUUCUUCUGCCACUGCCACUCCUGAGACAACAUGACCAAUCUCUCCCUUUCCUCCUCCUCAGCGUACUUUCAACAUAAAGACGACGAGGAUAAAGGCAUUUAUGAUGAACUACUUCCACAUAAUGAAUAAUUGAACAAAGGAGAGAAUUGUGAGAGUGAGAAAAAGUAAGUGAGACAAAGAAGAAAAACUAUAAAUCAGCAAAAUCCAGUGCCAAGAGCUCUGGACCACAAAUCAGAAGACCUGAGCCCUAAUUCCUUUCCAGUCAUUGGAUUUGUUCAUCGCUUGCCAAAACAGCAGCGAACUCUGUCAAACUGCAGCUCAUUUUAUCGGAGCAAAAACUGAACAAAGAACUGCUAUCAUGUCUGAGGUCAGAGGCAGUGCAGCUUGUGUUACAACUCAAAGAGUAAUACUUUGAAAAAAGAAAAAAAAGAUGGCGCUGAAAAUAAACAUGUUCAGCAGCCAUUGUGAUUCAACUUACCCAGAUGUGCUUUUCAUGAGAUGGAGAAGGACGGAUGGAAAAGAAAAGCACACAAAUGUUAAUGGAUACAGUUCAAUCCAAAGAAAACCAUGGAAUAAAACAAGAGCAUUAUUUAAGAUGUGAGAAAGCUCAGGUAUGAGAAAGACAUGGUG